GACUUUUUUUUCACUCUCUUCUCCCUUCUUCCCCCUCACCUCACGCCGGCACCGUUGGACCUCCGCGUCGUCGCUACCCUCUCUCCUCGCCCAAUCGCGGCUCGCGCCAUCCGCCGCCCUCUCUCCGCCCUAUUCGCGAAGCACCCACAGGCGACGAUGGCACGCGCCGUGCGCUCCCUCCCCUCCCGUUCGACCGCCUCGCAGUCGCAGGCGACGCCGGCGCAUGGCCGCGAGCCUUGCCGCCGCGGCCCCAUCGAUUUGCCGCCGCCACCAUUAACUUCACCCGCGGCGACCUCGGUACAAGUCCUCGAAAGAGCACUGAUGCUGAGGUCCUGCUACCAUGAUCGCGACCAAUCACAUAAUACAGCCAGGGAAAUCUGAAGAAAUCGAGCAUCAGUAUGGCAUCGCGCAGCAAAUUGGCUGGCAGCGGCGGCCGGUGGUGGUGCAAGGCUACAAGGCUUCCUACCUGCGCUGAAAAUUGAGAUGCUUGAUGGCGAGGAAGAAGAGGAAGGCGAAGAGGCCAAUGAUGGCGAGGUGGAGGCAGGUCACCAGCUCAAAGUAACGAUCCUGCAGGCCCAGGUACCCCUCUAGGAAGUCGCGCACCGUCUGCUCCCCGAGCCCCGGCACCAGGAUCUUCUCCGUCCGGUCUGCGAGCUGUGAGAACAUCAGCCCAUAAACUGUCCAUGCCGCCGGGUCGGCCCAGUACACCCACCGCCACCACACAGGCAUCAUCUGCAGCAGUUUUACUUCACUCAUCAGCCAGAGAAGACAUUCCAGAAGAUGAAGAUGAGGAACGACAGCCCCAUGGCAAUCUCAAUGUUGGGGGUCAGAGCCACCGUCAUCAUCCCGUACAGAGUGUAGUACAUGAAGCUCAUCACCAGGUAUAGGAAGAACCAGAAGAAUUUGCCCGCCGUCAGCUGGAAUCCGAUCAUCGGGUACACGAUCGAUGAGAAGAUCAGCACCUGCACCAACAUGUAAGGAACACCUGGUAUGGCCUGUUACAAAGUAAUUUUCAGUAUUUUCUUCUCUCUGCAUCUUAGAAAUAUAAAUGUCCAUCUCAGGUAAUCUUACCUCGAAAUACUUUAUCAUGUUGCUAGAUAGUGGACCUAGCGAACCAUUGUAUAUGAGCUGACCACCUCUUUUCAUAAGCAGAAGCUGCAAUUGGCCAAAUUGGAUUUGAAACUCAGAAUGGAAAAGUGUGGAGAUCACCAAAGCCAUAACAGUUAUCUGAAUGGUCUUGAAUAUAUGGACCGUUUGUCUUCUACUAGAAGAGGGAGAUAGGACGUGCGGAAGGAUUCUGCAAACUUUUCAAUUGUAUGGUACUGAUACUUAUUUUGAUCACCAGCCCAGUAUUGCUUUUGGUCCAUCUUAGAGGUUACCUGAUCAGUGGCCAGUUGGAGAGAACUUGUUACAUUAUUUUGCAAAAGCACGUGUAUUGCAGAAUAGUGACAUUUUACUUUCCUGCACAGAAUUGUAAGUCAUCUAUUGCCUGCUUAAUUUUGUGGAUCUGAUGUAUUAGUUAUCUCAAAGUUAUCCUUGAACACUAUACAUUUUUUUAUCAGUUGGCAUUACUGUUAUAUUUAGCUAUUACUUAAUCCUUAUAGGCAGUUAGGCACAUUUGACGGUUGAUUACCUCUUGAAGGAAAUCGGCUACAUUCUUUCUGUCAGGGCAUUUGAAUCCCAUAGUUUCAAAGAAGUCCGUAGCAUUUUCUCGAGGACCAUGAUACACAAUUUGCCCCUCACAUAAAAGUAUAAUGUCGUCAAAUAAUUCCAAUGUCUCGGGAGGUGGUUGCAGCAAGGAAAUAACCAUUGUGAGAUCCAUCAAAUGGGCCAUCUGUUGGAGAAACUUCAUGAUCUCAAAUGUCGUGGAGCUAUCUAGACCUGUUGAUAUAUCAUCCAUAAAGAAGCAUCUUGCUAGACCAACUAGCAUCUCCCCUGCAUUAAAUAACAUCACUUUAACGUAUGCCAACUUAGGUUAGGUUUCAGUUAAGUAUCUCCUUACUCUGUUCCUUAUUCUAAUAUUCUGGUUAGUUGCUUCCAUCCGACUUGACAGUUACAAGCAUUCUAUUUUAGAGCUAGUCAUGCUUCAUUAUCAUGAAGAUUCCUACCCUUGUAAGAACCUUUUGCAUUCUUAAGGUGGUGGAAUGUCAGUUAAUGUGGCUUUGUUUCAGAUUGAAGUGUGUGCUUCCAGUGGCAGCUACAUAAACCCUAUAGCUAUAUAUGUAUCAUUUUACCAUCAGCCUUGAUAAGAAUGCUUACCAACUGUGGCUCUUUUCUUUUGUCCUCCAGAUAUUCCUCUUCUCAUCUCGUCUCCUACUAGGGUAUCAGCACACUCGGACAGGCCAAGUAUCUGCAUAUAAUCAACUGUUACUAUUAUAUCAUCAAGAUAUACAGCAAAUCAAACAAGUUUAAGUUACCUUGAUAAUAUAGUUUGUUGUGAGGUUGCUUCCUUCUCCAAAGGUGGUGGCCUGAGAGAGGAGAUAUCUGAGUAUCUAAACAAAACAUAAUCCAGUCUUGCAAAAACAAAGUAUGGAGUAGUACAGAAGAACUACCUUAAUGAAUGAAUCAAGAUCUUGGUCCACUUUAUUGAUGACACCCUUUUUUCUUCUUAUUGCUUCUCCUAGCAUCUCUGAGUUUGUCAUUCCAUACAAAUAGGAAUUUUGUGUCAGUAUAGAUGCCAUGGAAAAAUUGAUUUAUCUUGAAUAUUAUGUAGAUUCUUCCUUCUCGAGUUCAAGUGUUUGCCUUGUUAUAAAUUGCAGCACAUUCCAGUGAUCUUCAAAAUGAAUAGCUCACUAUACGCAAGAGUAUGUCUUACCAAAUUCAUUAUUGGUUCCAAGCAUCUUGGAAGAGAAGUUGAUCGUCUCUCUUACUGUCAUCUCAGCAUGGUGAAGAUCAUACUGGCUAACAUAAGCACGCAGGGCAGGGGAAAGCAACAAGCCAAGAAGCACUGAAGCAGCAGACCAGCAGUGGUGGGUGGGGGUUAACCAUGGGCCGUGCCCCGCACCCCCCAAUCCAGUAGAACUUUUUUUAAAAGUACCCCAACACAUAUUGGAGUUGAAAUCAAUUCACCCAUUUUUUAUCACAAUGUUGUGAUUUUUUUCAUUAUAAAUACUAACUAUAUAUGUAAAAAAGUUGUUGAGACAAUAUAUUUAUCAUAUUUAGACGUGUCA